CGGAGUAAUUACAUAAGCAACGUGCCCCGACGACCGGGAUAGCCCCUCGAAAGAGGGAUUAAUACCGGAUGUGGCCCUUGGAGGACAUCCUACGAGGAUUAAAACGAGUAAUCGGCAUCGGGAGCGGCUUGUGGCCUAUCAGCUUGUUGGUGAGGUAAUGGCUCACCAAGGCUACGACGGGUAGCUGGUCUGAGAGGACGACCAGCCCGACUGGGACUGAGACACGGCCCAG
rnacentral:rRNA from 1 species